AUUGAACGCUGGCGGCAUGCCUUACACAUGCAAGUCGAACGGCAGCGCGGUAGUGCUUGCACUACUGCCGUCGAGUGGCGCACGGGUGUGAAAUAUAUCUGAACGUACCGAGUAACGGGGGAUAACCAAUCGAAAGAUUGGCUAUUACCGCAUACAUCCUGAGCGAGAAAGCGCAGGAUCGCAAGACCUCUUGUUAUUCGAGCGGCCGAUAACUGAUUAGCUAGUUGGUGGGGUAAAGGCCUACCAAGGCGACGAUCAGUAGCGGGUCUGAGAGGGUGAUCGGCCACACUGGAACUGAGACACGGCCCAGACUCCUACGGGAGGCAGCAGUGGGGAAUUUUGGACAAUGGGCGCAAGCCUGAUCCAGCCAUGCCGCGUGUAUGAAGAAGGCCUUCGGGUUGUAAAGUUCUUUUGUUAGGGAAGAAAAGGGGUGUGCUAAUACCUCUUUGUGCUGACGGUACCUAAAGAAUAAGCACCGGCUAACUACGUG
rnacentral:rRNA from 1 species